UUUUGAUUGUUGAAUUUAUUAUUUUUUCUAUUUCUUCACUCUUGUUUUACUUUCUGGCAUUUAUCUACGGGAUAUGCAUGGUACAAAGUUCAUGGUACAGAACCCUUGUGAUUCAUUCUCUUGUCUUUGCUUAUCAAAAAUGGAUAUCAUUUAAAAUGGGGUUCAGGAAUAAUAUAAAUUAACCCUCUUUUAGCUCAUCUAGAAUAUGAAUU
rnacentral:lncRNA from 1 species